GGAACAAAUCAUACCAACACUAAAGCACCAGAUCCCAUAAGAACUCCACAGUUAAGCGUGCUUGAGCUAGAAAAUAGUAGGAUGGGUGAAGAAAGGAAAAUGUUUAA
rfam:Ananas comosus cultivar MD2 ACMD2_Scaffold_1698, whole genome shotgun sequence.